UACGUAGGGUGCGAGCGUUAAUCGGAAUUACUGGGCGUAAAGUGUGCGCAGGCGGCUUCGCAAGUCGAGUGUGAAAUCCCCGAGCUUAACUUGGGAAUUGCGCUCGAAACUACGGAGCUGGAGUGUGGCAGAGGAAGGUGGAAUUCCACGUGUAGCAGUGAAAUGCGUAGAGAUCGUAAGGAAGACCAGUGGCGAAGGCGGGUCUCUGGACAGUUCCUGACACUGAGGCACGAAGGCCAGGGGAGCAAACGGG
rnacentral:rRNA from 1 species